rnacentral:rRNA from 1 species
GUGGGGAAUUUUGGACAAUGGGCGCAAGCCUGAUCCAGCAAUGCCGCGUGCAGGAAGAAGGCCUUCGGGUUGUAAACUGCUUUUGUACGGAACGAAACGGUCCUGGCUAAUAUCCGGGGCUAAUGACGGUACCGUAAGAAUAAGCACCGGCUAACUACGUGCCAGCAGCCGCGGGAAUACGUAGGGUGCGAGCGUUAAUCGGAAUUACUGGGCGUAAAGCGUGCGCAGGCGGUGCUGUAAGACAGGCGUGAAAUCCCCGGGCUCAACCUGGGAAUUGCGCUUGUGACUGCAGUGCUGGAGUGCGGCAGAGGGGGAUGGAAUUCCGCGUGUAGCAGUGAAAUGCGUAGAUAUGCGGAGGAACACCGAUGGCGAAGGCAAUCCCCUGGGCCUGCACUGACGCUCAUGCACGAAAGCGUGGGGAGCAAACAGGAUUAGAAACCCCAGUAGUCC